CUUUGACAAUUAUUUUACUUGCAAUAUGGUGCUUCGUAAAGAAUUACUUGAAGAAUUUCAGUGUCCAGUUUGUACCGAAUAUAUAUUUCCACCAAUCAAAUGCCGCUCUCCAAUUGCUUACGAAAAAAAUUCUACACUGGAAAAAUUACACGAAAAAUUAGAUUUUCCUUGUAAAUAUUAUGACCAGGGCUGUUCUUUUGUCGGACAACCAGAUAAAUUAGAAAUUCAUCAAACAGACUGCUGUCACAACAUCGACAAAACAUCGAAAUGGUCUGAAGGAAAAAUACCUGAACUUCUUUCUUUUAUUGUCUUUUCUACAUGCUUGCUCUUGUUUGAAUUGUACUUGAUUUUAUAAGCAGAACAGGGCUGGUAAUGUAGGCAAUAAGACUAUAAUAUUUAUAACAUUUACUAAGAAAAUAUUAAAAAUUACAGCAAUAAAUAAGAAUUACGACGAAGAUGAAAUGUUUCAGUUCUUUAGUUUUGCAUCGACAAUGGGUAAUCGACAAUUACGUUACAGUAGGAAAAUCGUCUGAAUCGUCGCGAUAGUAUUCAUAGUCAGGACGGAAAUUAAAAACUCGUCUCUUCUCAUUCGUGUGUCUUCUUAGCGAAAACAAGGGUUCGAAGACAAAAUCGUCAGCAGCCACAGCUAAAUCAUCAAGACUGUCCCUCGAAGCAGGAUAAGCAAAUGCAGUUGCUAACAAAAACACCAGUAAGGUGACACAAAUC